AAGCUUUUUUUAGUAUCGGUUUAUUCACCUCUCCUACCUUGCUUAUUUAUUUUUUUUUUAUCCACAUUAUUUCGUCUAGAUAAUGAAUAAAUUAAUAAAAUUGUUUUCAUCCUUUUACCCAAUGUUUCGUCCCCCGUUUCUUACGGCAAGAAUAUUUUACUCUUUGAGAAUGUAAGCUUGUACAACAACGAAGAACUCGAAAUAUUAUUUCUUUGUCGGCAAGAUUUCCUACGUUUCUGCUAUCAGAUAUAAAAGAUACAGACUUUCGAAUCAUUCUGAAAAAUAAAUAUAUAUUAACACUUCUUUUCGUACGAUCGUAUUUAAGACGUGACAUUUCUAUAUUUAUAAAUUAUACAAUGAUACGUUUCAUCAAGAUACGAAAUUUAUAGUAUUCUUCUUUUUUUAAAGGUUAAAUGAACAAUUUUUUAAACCGAAAUAUAACACUUCCUUGCAGCGUCGAUCUUUCGACAGACAUUUUCACGUACGAGUUAAUUUUCGUCAGGAAAAUUUAAAA
rnacentral:misc_RNA from 1 species